rnacentral:rRNA from 1 species
AGGAUGAACGCUGGCGGCGUGCUCAACACAUGCAAGUCAAGGGGGCCCAGCAAUGGGCAACCGGCGAACGGGUGCGUAACACGUGAGCAACCUACCGAAUUGUGGGGGAUAGCCGGCCCAACGGCCGGGUAAUACCGCAUACGCUCGAGACCAGGCAUUUGGACUCGAGGAAAUUUACGGAGCAAUUCGAGGGGCUCGCGGCCUAUCAGCUAGUUGGUGAGGUAACGGCCUACCAAGGCAUCGACGGGUAGCUGGUCUGAGAGGAUGAUCAGCCACACUGGGACUGAGACACGGCCCAGACUCCUACGGGAGGCAGCAGUGGGGAAUCUUGCGCAAUGGGCGAAAGCCUGACGCAGCAACGCCGCGUGCGGGAAGAAGGCCCUCGGGUGUAAACCGCUUCAGAAGG